rnacentral:rRNA from 1 species
CCUACGGGUGGCUGCAGUAGGGAAUAUUGCUCAAUGGGGGAAACCCUGAAGCAGCAACGCCGCGUGGAGGAUGAAGUUUCUCGGUUUGUAAACUCCUUUUGUUAGAGAAGAUAAUGACGGUAUCUAACGAAUAAGCACCGGCUAACUCCGUGCCAGCAGCCGCGGUAAUACGUAGGGUGCAAGCGUUACCCGGAAUCACUGGGCGUAAGGGCGCGUAGGCGGGAUAGCAAGUCAGAUGUGAAAUCCCAUGGCUUAACCAUAGAACUGCAUUUGAAACUGUUAUUCUAGAGUAUGGGAGAGGUAGGUGGAAUUCUUGGUGUAGGGGUAAAAUGCGUAGAGAUCAAGAGGAAUACUGAUUGCGAAGGCGGCCUACUGGAACAUAACUGACGCUGAUGCGCGAAAGCGUGGGGAGCAAACAGGAUUAGAUACCCCAGUAGUC